UCUUGCCGGAAAGACAAGCCCCGUCCCAUGCGUGUCAAAGAGACCGCACAGCAAAAACUUGAACCAGUGUAAAAGGUAGUGGUAGACUGGUAGUAGAAGACAAAAAUGGAGGAGACCGGUGGUACCCCCGGGGAAGCUAGGGAUCCUCAAUCCCAGAGCUCUGUCAUCACAAUCACCGUCAAAUUCAGCGGUAGAUCGAUCCCGGUCUCUCUCUCGCCGGACUCCACGAUCAAAGACCUCAAAUCCCUUCUCCAACCUCUCACUAACGUCCUCCCGCGUGGCCAGAAGCUCAUCUUCAAAGGGAAACUUUUGGUGGAUACGAUGACAUUGAGGACAUCGGAGGUGGCCGGUGGGGCCAAGGUCAUGCUCAUGGCCUCUCAGGGCUUGCACCAAGGGGACGGUCCCAUUCUAAAAGAUGCCCGGACUGUACCGAGGAGAGUUGACAAUGCUAAUAAUAAAAUGGUGAAUGAGAAGCUUCAAGUUCCUGUUGACAAGAAUAGGUUGGAACGUUGGAAAGUGACGGGGGUUGUGGCAUUGUCCGAAUCUAAUUUGAAGACCAUACCUGAUGAAGUAUGGGCUUGUGGACCUUCUGCAAGAGUCCUUGAUUUGAACAACAACUCUGUUCGAGAUGUGCCUGCUCAAGUUGGCUGUUUGAGUUCCAUUCAGAAGUUGCUCCUGAAUUCAAAUGCUAUAGUGGAUGAAUCCCUGAACUGGGAUGCACUAGCAUCUUUGAAGUACCUAUCUGUUCUCUCUAUGAACCAAAACCAUUUCACAAAUUUGCCUCCUGCACUGGGUGCCCUGACUUCCCUUAGGCAACUUCAUGUCGCAAACAACAAGUUGACUAGCCUCCCUAUUGAAAUAGGUCUGUUAACUCAGAUUGAGGUUUUGAAAGUCAAUCAUAACAGGAUAAGCACCAUUCCUACAUGUAUAGGGAACUGCAAUUCUCUUGUUGAGAUUGAUCUUUCAUCAAAUCUUCUGUCAGAGUUGCCAGAGACUUUUGGCAAUCUGCAUGAUUUGAAGGUGCAUGUCGUAGGAUCCCAACCACAUGUGUUACCUAUGGUCCUGUAUUUACUCCAUUGUCCUCAUUCCUGUGUAGGCUUUGUAUCUUGGUAACAACGGCCUAAAAUCACUUCCUUCUACACUAUUUAAAAAGUGCCUUCAGCUGUCAACGCUGGAUAUCCACAACACAGAAAUCACAACGGAUCUCCUUCGUCAGUUUGAAGGAUGGGAAAGCUUUGAUGAGCGCCGCCGCUUAAAGCAUCAGAAGCAGCUGGAGUUCCGAGUUGUGGGCUCUGCUGAAUUUGAUGAAGGUGCUGAUAAAAACUGAUGACCCAUUUCUGCAUAAUAGACGACAGUUUUGCCAGUUAUCCAGAAGUAGAUAUUCCUUGAUUUUACUAGACUAAAUUCUGAGGUGGCGGACUGCAGAUUUGUUAUAGAAUAACUAUUCAGCAUUGCAUCUUUCAUAAAUCAAUAAAAGGGGAAUGCUCUCUCUCAUUCACCAUCUAGCUAGAAAUGACCAGUUAAACGAGUUCCAUUCUGUAAAUAUUUAGCAUAUACUCGUACGUUCCAGUGAAGAGGUAAAAUCUGUUUUACCCCUGAAAAA